AUUGAACGCUGGCGGCAGGCCUAACACAUGCAAGUCGAGCGAGCGGCGGACGGGUGAGUACUGUCUGGGAAACUGCCUGAUGUAGGGGGAUAAAUACUCGGAACGGGAUCUAAAAUACCACAUUACACGAUGUGCCCUGAUGGGGUUAGCUAGUUGGUGGGGUAACGGCUCACCUCGGCGACGAUCCCUAGCUGGUCUGAGAGGAUGACCAGCCCCACUGGAACUGAGCCACGGUCCAGACUCCUACGGGAGGCAGCAGUGGGGAAUAUUGCACAAUGGGCGCAAGCCUGAUGCAGCCAUGCCGCGUGUGUGAAGAAGGCCUUCGGGUUGUAAAGCACUUUCAGCGGGGAGGCGUUACCCGCAGAAGAAGCACCGGCUAACUCCGUGCCAGCCGCCGCGGUAAUAC
rnacentral:rRNA from 1 species